rnacentral:misc_RNA from 1 species
GGAUCGAUCACCAGCGACAUGGCGCCGGCCCUGAUCGACCGCUACGACCUGCUGCGCGGUGUCAAAAAACUGGGCACCUGGUGGGAAUGGUCCGAACUGUUCUUCGGCAACGGUUUCGACCUGUCCAUGCAUCGCCGCGACACCACCGACGCGGUGUGGGAUGCGACGCUCGCGGCGGCGAACAAGGGGCCGGGCGACUGGUACGCCGACGCCGACAGCCUGCGUUAUUCGUUCUUU